AGGACGAACGCUGGCGGCGUGCUUAACGACAUGCAAGUCGAGCGGAAAGGCCCUUCGGGGUACUCGAGCGGCGAACGGGUGAGUAACACGUGAGCAACCUGCCCUUAGCUCUGGGAUAGCUCCGGGAAACCGGAAUUAAUACCGGAUAUGACCUAGGCCGACAUCGGCCGUGGUGGAAAGUUUUUCGGCUAGGGAUGGACUCGCGGCCUAUCAGCUAGUUGGUGGGGUAAUGGCCUACCAAGGCGACGACGGGUAGCCGGCCUGAGAGGGCGACCGGCCACACUGGGACUGAGACACGGCCCAGACUCCUACGGGAGGCAGCAGUGGGGAAUCUUGCGCAAUGGGCGAAAGCCUGACGCAGCGACGCCGCGUGGGGAUGACGGCCUUAGGGUUGUAAAGCUCUUUCAUCAGGGACGAUAAUGACGGUACCUGAAGAAGAAGCCCCGGCUAACUUCGCGCCAGCAGCCGC
rnacentral:rRNA from 1 species